GAACUUCUUACUUGUUCCAUGCUAAUUUGGUGGAAACAGUAAGAAUAAAAAUCUUGAGUUCAUUUAUGCAUCCACUUUGAUCAUAUGUAUCCUAAAAAAAACGUUGAGGUUAUGAUACUUUAAAUAUACUUAAAAGACAUCUACUUAUGAUUGUACUUUUGAUAGGAGUUCUUAUUAAAAACUAUUUAAUAGAAGUAAACAUUGAAAAGUUCGUGUGAGUUUGACAUAAUUGAUAGCAAUAUUGUGAUAUGCAUGAUCGAAGUUUUAAUCUCGAAUUUUCUACUUAUUCAUGUAUUUAGACACUAAACUAUUUGAUCAAACAAAUUGAACAUAGAGCAGAAUUGUGUCCACUAUAAAGUGAUCAAAAAAGUGUUAUAUUCAUUGCAUUCAAAUGAUGAAAAAUAUGACUAAAGCUAUCAAAUUUGUGUAUAUUAUGAUCUUAUUUCUUCCCCCAAUUCUUGUUGGAGCUGGCGAAAUUCCAUAUCAUCAAUGUAAAUUUGACAUGGAAUGUAUGUUGAUGAAAUGUGUUCCUGGUAAAGUUAAUGUGUGCAGUUUGGGAAGGUGUUAUUGCGUCAACAGUUAAGUUAAAAAAUAAUUAUGCGUUGCACCUAAGCCUAUACUUUUAUUUUUUCCAUCAUAAUGUUGUUCAUUUCUAUAACACUAUAGUGUGUGUGUAUUCUACCUUUCAAUAUUUUCAUUGGCUUAGAAAUGUGUUAAUCAUAUUAUGCAAGUGUUACAUCACCUUCUUUGAUUUUUGCAUAUAUAGAUAUUAAAGAUAAAUAUGAUCUAGUUUUUUAAUACACUAUCUAUGAAUCUUAGAAUUGUGGUCCAAACCUUAGGAGAGUAUCGUCUAAGUUUGAUAUUUGCUUGCAUAUAUAUAGAGAACAUGUAUCAAAUAAGAGGAGUGGUUAUUGUGAGCGAUGAGAGGAUUCAAUUUCAAUCCUUAGAUGAAUAUUAAUGGGUUCAAAUUAAUUAUUGUUAAAAUACUCUAUUCCUUCUUGUCAUGCGCACUAUUCUUCUUCUUCCCUGUUUUCCAUCAUCUUCUUUCCUUCAUUUAUGUCUAGUUCUUCCUCCCACCACAACAAAUUUGAUGAUGCACAGAUUAUUCCACUAUCAAAUCAAAAAUCAAACUUUCCAAUUGCCAUUAAAAGAGAUCCAAUUUAUUAAUCUUCUACGAAACUUCACAUAUGUCCCAUUAAUUUGCUUUUGUUUCGCAAUGGAAUCCACAACCAAAACUUAGUACCGAUCAUUAAAAAGCAUCAGUAAAACAAAUCUAUUAUCCAAAAUUCUCUUUAUAAUUUGAUACAAAAGUCGUGAUUUUCUUUUUGGUACAUCAAAAGUCGUGGUUUUUAAAAUAAAAAAAAAAAUAGAGCUGAU